rnacentral:rRNA from 1 species
CGCCGCGUGAGGGAUGACGGCCUUCGGGUUGUAAACCUCUUUUAGUAGGGAAGAAGCGAAAGUGACGGUACCUGCAGAAAAAGCACCGGCUAACUACGUGCCAGCAGCCGCGGUAAUACGUAGGGUGCAAGCGUUGUCCGGAAUUAUUGGGCGUAAAGAGCUCGUAGGCGGUUUGUCGCGUCUGCUGUGAAAUCCCGAGGCUCAACCUCGGGCUUGCAGUGGGUACGGGCAGACUAGAGUGCGGUAGGGGAGAUUGGAAUUCCUGGUGUAGCGGUGGAAUGCGCAGAUAUCAGGAGGAACACCGAUGGCGAAGGCAGAUCUCUGGGCCGUAACUGACGCUGAGGAGCGAAAGCAUGGGGAGCGAACAGGAUUAGAUACCCUGGUAGUCCAUGCCGUAAACGUUGGGCGCUAGAUGUAGGGACCUUUCCACGGUUUCUGUGUCGUAGCUAACGCAUUAAGCGCCCCGCCUGGGGAGUACGGCCGCAAGGCUAAAACUCAAAGGAAUUGACGGGGGCCCGCACAAGCGGCGGAGCAUGCGGAUUAAUUCGAUGCAACGCGAAGAACCUUACCAAGGCUUGACAUACACCGGAAACGGCCAGAGAUGGUCGCCCCCUUGUGGUCGGUGUACAGGUGGUGCAUGGUUGUCGUCAGCUCGUGUCGUGAGAUGUUGGGUUAAGUCCCGCAACGAGCGCAACCCUCGUUCUAUGUUGCCAGCGGGUUAUGCCGGG